AAUUCCAUUCCAAAGAUUCUGUUGCUUUGUUCAUGUAAGAACACAAUUUACAGAGUUACUUCCCCUAGCGGAACUCGUUUGAUGUAAACAGCACUGAUGUCAUGCAUGUGGCAGACAAUGUUGAACUGUAGUUUUUCAAUCUUUUCUGACGAUGAAUGUGGGAAUUCAAAAUAUUCGAAGGAUUAAAAGACAACACGCCAAUUGGACAAUGUAAUAUUACUGUUGAACCACUUCCCUAGGAUUAAAAUAUGCAAAAAUCAAGUCAGAGGGACAUUUGAUUUUUUACAAUAUUGGGAUCUUUUCCCAAUUAUAUGAACAUUCAUACUUUGUUUGUCUAAAACACCAACAAACCAUAGGAAUACGCAUGAGAUUAUUAGAAGGAAUGUUGGCUGUGCACAACCGUCUCACAAAGGAAGGAUCAAAGCCAGACGGAGCAGUGCCCAUCCAGAUGAGCAGGGCCUUUUUUCUCUGUUCUACAGAAACACAAGGAUUUGCUGAAUUGCAGAGGUGAUUUGUAAAGACACAUACCUUUAAUAUUUGAAAAGACUAUUGCACAUGUUGCACUGAAGAGGAUUGAUGAUUAAAAGAUUCGACUACAGCAAAGUUCAAUGAGGCUCAUCAUAUUGUGAUGCCAAUAUUGCGCACUGGAGUAGGAAAAUCAAAAUGUUUGUUGCGAAUGGACAUAAGGAGAUAACAUGCCUUCAAAUUGACCAACAUUCUCGAAGUGAAGGAUGACAACUUAUAGCCUCUAUUCACGGAGAUUGCAUAGCCAUGUUUGAACCUAAAGAAAAGAUAUACCAAAUCUGAAUGACAGAUAAAAUAAUAAGACAUGAUAAAUAUAAGAAGACUCUGAACAAUCUGAAUACUGUUAAUUUUUUAAAAACAUUUGAAUGUUGAGAUUGGUUGAGUAUCUCGAUGAUAAGAACUUGCAUUCUGAAAUCAGAAUUUGGAUGAGCUUUUCCUGUACUAGCAUAAAUUAAUCUCUAAUUUUGGUCAGUUAUUUUCUAAAACAUUAUAAUAAAUGAAUGCAAUAAGUUGUGCAAUUUAUUGUUUUCUUUUUGAAAAAUGUUGCAUGUUUAUUAUGACAUACAUUUUUGUCUCGCAGUAUGCCACACAAAGGCAUUACUAUCUGACAGUUGCAGGGCCAACUACAUGUAUUAUAUUUUAGAUGGUAGAAGACCUGCAUUUUUAGUCCCCUACCGACGAAGUCGAAGGGGACUCUAGGUUUGCACUCCGUCCGUCUGUCUGUCUGUCCGUCUGUUUGUCCUUCUGUCAGUCCGGCAAAUCAGUUUUCCACACUUUUUUUCUUCAUGCUUGAAGAUAUUGAUUUGAUAUUUGGUAUAUUGUUUUAUCAUGACAAGUUACAGAUCAAGUUCGAAUUGUGUUCCGGUCUGAUAAUUUUGUGCAGAGUUAUGGUCCUUGGACUUAGAAAAUUCACUCAAAUAAUCAGUUUUCUGCACUUUUUUUCGUCAUGCUUGAAGAUAUUGAUUUGAUAAUUGGUAUAUAGUUUUAUCAUGACAAGUUACAGACCAUGUUUGAAUUUUGUUUCGGUUUGAUGAUUUUUUGCAGAGUUAUGGUCCUUGGACUUAGAAAAUUCACUUAAAUUAUCAGUUUUCUGCACUUUUUUUCGUCAUGCUUGAAGAUAUUGACUUGAUAUUUGUUAUAUAGUUUACAUCAUGACAAGUUAUAGAUCAAGUUAGCAUUUUGUUCCAGUACAAUUAAUUUAUAACCGGUAGGGGACUAUGUAUUGUCAUGCAAUACUCUCAGAAUGCUUGUUCAUAUAAAUAAGAAGAGCUUGUUUGCAGAUACCUUAUGUUACAAAGUUUCCGUCUGUCAUAUGUCCAAUUUCCUGGACCUCAUUUUCAUGGUUCAGCGACUGCUUGAUUUUUUUUUUAGUUUUUUGGUCAUGUGAAUUUCUCACUUAUUAUGAGUAAUAUUAGGAUAACUAUAUUUGGUAUAUGGGUUACUGGCUAUGUCUACAUGUCGGUCAGACAGGGUUCACCUGACCUCAACUUCAUUUCAUGGAUCAGUGAUCAAGGUCAAAGUUACAUGCAUGUAUGAAUAGGUUCAUUUCUCUUAUACUAUAAGCAGGUCAACUAUGUGUGGUGUAUUGAAUGAUUGUAAGGGAUAGAUGUCAGUCUAGAUCUGGCAGGUUCCACCUGACCUUGACCCCAUUUUCAUGGUUCAUUAGUCAAUGUUUAGUUUUUG